ACGGAACGGAAAGGUACUCAUUCUUCUUGAUGAUGUUGCUACUCCUUUGUUUUCUGUUCUUCACCGGUGCCCGGGCAAGAAAUUCUGCGCUCUCAGAAGAUGACUUCACAUUGGAGGCAGAGCUCUAGAUGCUUAACAAGCCCUAUGUUAAAUCCUUCAAGGAUAAUUAUGGUGUAGUUUUUGACAUACACAAGCAGCCUGCAUUCGAUCAUCCGCUCCUUAAAAACCACAAGCUUCAGAUUCCGCCAAACUCAAGUGCCGGAACUGGUCUACCCACAACUUCAGGAGAAAGUUGCCCUUAUGGAACUGUUCCGAUACGAAGAACUCUGAAGGAAGAUCUUGUAAGGUGGCGCGCAUCUUCUCAGGUGAUGAAGCCACAGACGGAAUACAAUCGAAGGACAGCAUUUCGCCCAGGUGCUGUUUGACAGCGAGAAAGGCUCCUUGUUCGUUGACGUGAAGGCUGAUAUCGACGUGUAUCCUCUAGUUGUUCCUCCUGGCCAGAAAUCCACGGCUCAGAUUCUUGUUGUGGAUGAGAGUCCUAGCAGCGCCACCGUCGUGCAAGCUGGAUGGCAUAUCGAUUCUCAACAUGAAGGCGACAACCAACCUCGUUUCAUGGUUUACUGGACGGCCGAUGACUACCAAAAAACCGGCUGCCUGAACUAUGAAUGCCCAGGCUUUGUGGUCACGAGCCAAGCUACCACUCCUGGAAUGGCUCUUCCAGUGGGGAAAAUUACUUUAAAGAUUCUCAUAGUAAUCCAUGACAUUCAUCACAUCAGCCUGAACAACUUCAUCUUCGUUAUCACUCUCCGUUUUUUUAUAUCUAUUUACCAUAUAUAUAUAUCUGUCAUCCUAUUGGAUGUGACAAGUUGGAGAUGGAAUCAUUGAGAGAGUGGAGGAAAAUUUAAUAGAUACAACUAAUUGUAUAAUUGGAAGGAUGCAAACAGAACAAAGGAUGUAGCAAGUGUUGCUGAAAUAGUAUGUUUAUGUGUUUUUCAGGAUUUCCAGAUCAGGAACUGGAAUGUCUACCUGAACGGUGAGAUGGUCGGCUACUUCCCCGGGGCCAUAGUCAACGGCAUGGACGGCAGCACCCAGAUCCAGAUGGAAGGGACCAUGUACUCCACCCCGGGGGAGGGGAAGAGCUCCCCAAUGGGCAACGGCAUCCUGGCUGCUGACACCAACGCCGCUGCCAAGUUCACCUGGGUUGUGAUGAGGGGCUCAAGACUAUCAACUAUACGGUGGCCAAGUACGUCGAUUCAAGCAUCUACGAUGCGAUCGUCACUUCAGCUUCAGAAGACGGCCCUCAGGGAUUCACCUUCGUGUUCGGUGGUCCUGGAGGCGUCUAGGAGCAGGCAUAAUUUUGUGAAAAAAAAGAAGAGAGCAAUGUAAUAUUAGAGCAUCUUCAAUAGAACCCCUAUUUAGUUUUUAGGGGCCGAGACCA